GCCGGGCGCGGUGGCGGGCGCCUGUAGUCCCAGCUACUCAGGAGGCUGAGGCAGGAGAAUGGCGGGAACCCGGGAGGCGGAGCUUGCAGUGAGCCGAGAUCGCCCCACUGCACUCCAGCCUGGGCAACAGCGUGAGACUCCGUCUCAAAAAAAAAAAAAAAAAAUUUUGAGACUAAAUGUCGCUGUAUUACCUAGGCUGGAGUGCAGUGGCAGGAUCUCGGCUCACUGCUACCUCUGUUUCUUGGGCUCAAGCAAUCCGCCCACCUCAGCCUCCU
rnacentral:SRP_RNA from 10 species